UACGUAGGGGGCAAGCGUUGUCCGGAAUCAUUGGGCGUAAAGAGCGUGUAGGCGGCCCGAUAAGUCCGCUGUGAAAGUCCAGGGCUCAACCCUGGGAUGCCGGUGGAUACUGUCGGGCUCGAGUCCGGAAGAGGAGUGUGGAAUUCCUGGUGUAGCGGUGAAAUGCGCAGAUAUCAGGAGGAGCACCGAUGGCGAAGGCAGGUCACUGGGCCGCAACUGACGCUGAGGAGCGAAAGCAUGGGGAGCGAACAGG
rnacentral:rRNA from 1 species